rnacentral:rRNA from 1 species
UACAGAGGUGGCAAGCGUUGUUCGGAUUUACUGGGCGUAAAGGGUGCGUAGGCGGCUCUGCGUGUCGGAUGUGAAAUCCCACGGAUUAUUCGUGGAACGGCAUUCGAAACUGCAGGGCUAGAGUACAGGAGAGGAGAGCGGAAUUCUUGGUGUAGCGGUGAAAUGCGUUGAUAUCAAGAGGAACGCCGGUGACGAAGGUGGCUCUCUGGACUGUUACUGACGCUGAGGCACGAAAGCUAGGGGAGCAAACAGG